rnacentral:rRNA from 1 species
CCCUUAGAUGUUCUGGGCCGCACGCGUGCUACACUGAACGGUUCAAUGGGUGAGGUAGUGCGAAAGCAUGACCCAAUCUCUAAAUCCGUUCGUGCUGGGGAUAGAAGCUUGCAAUUAUCCUUCUUGAACGAGGAAUACCUUGUAGGCGUGAGUCAUCAUCUCGCGCCGAAUACGUCCCUGCCCUUUGUACACACCGCCCGUCGCUCCUACCGAUUGAGUGGUCCGGUGAGGCUUUGGGAGGACUGGAUGGAUUGUGUUUCACAAACUAUUCGGGCUGAACUUAGUCAAACCUUAUCACUUAGAGGAAGGAGAAGUCGUAACA